CAUGCAAGUCGAACGGAAACCUUAGGGUUUUAGUGGCGAACGGGUGAGUAACACGUAAGCAACCUGCCUUUAAGACGUGGAUAACAAUUGGAAACAGUUGCUAAGACAGGAUAGGAAAUUAAGAGGCAUCUUUUAAUUUUUAAAAGACCUUUUUCGAAAGGUAUACUUAAAGAGGGGCUUGCGCCACAUUAGUUAGUUGGUAAGGUAAAAGCUUACCAAGACGAUGAUGUGUAGCUGGACUGAGAGGUCGAACAGCCACAUUGGGACUGAGACACGGCCCAAACUCCUACGGGAGGCAGCAGUAAGGAAUUUUUGGCAAUGGAGGAAACUCUGACCGAGCGACGCCGCGUGAACAAUGAAGUACUUCGGUAUGUAAAGUUCUUUUAUUGAAAAAGAAAAAAUAGUGGAAAAACUAUCUUGACAUUAUUCAAUGAAUAAGCCCCGGCUAAUUAUGUGCCAGCAGCCGCGGUAAUACAUAAGGGGCGAGCGUUAUCCGGAAUUAUUGGGCGUAAAGGGUGCGUAGGCGGUUUGAUAAGUCUAUAGUUUAAAUGCAGUGCUUAACGCUGUAGCGCUAUAGAAACUGUCUGACUAGAGUUAGAUAGAGGCAAGCGGAAUUCCAUGUGUAGCGGUAAAAUGCGUAAAUAUAUGGAGGAACACCAGAGGCGUAGGCGGCUUGCUGGGUCUUAACUGACGCUGAGGCACGAAAGCGUGGGGAGCAAACAGGAUUAGAUACCCUGGUAGUCCACGCCGUAAACGAUGAGUACUAAGUGUCGGGUUUCGACUCGGUACUGAAGUUAACACAUUAAGUACUCCGCCUGAGUAGUACGUACGCAAGUAUGAAACUUAAAGGAAUUGACGGGACCCCGCACAAGCGGUGGAUCAUGUUGUUUAAUUCGAAGAUACACGAAAAACCUUACCAGGUCUUGACAUAAUUUUGCGACAUUAUAGAAAUAUAAUGAAGGUUAUCAGAAUUACAGGUGGUGCAUGGUUGUCGUCAGCUCGUGUCGUGAGAUGUUAGGUUAAGUCCUAAAACGAGCGCAACCCUUGUCGUUAGUUGCGACCACGUAAUGGUGAGCACUUUAGCGAGACUGCCAAUGAAAAAUUGGAGGAAGGUGAGGAUUACGUCAAAUCAUCAUGCCCCUUAUGAUCUGGGCUACAAACGUGAUACAAUGGCUGUUACAAAGAGUAGCUGUAACGUGAGUUUAUGGCCAAUCUCAAAAAAACAGUCUCAGUUCGGAUUGAAGUCUGCAACUCGACUUCAUGAAGUUGGAAUCGCUAGUAAUCGCGAAUCAGCAUGUCGCGGUGAAUACGUUCUCGGGGUUUGUACACACCGCCCGUCAAACCACGAAAGUUGAUAAUACCCGAAAGUGGUCGCCUAACUUCGUUAGAAGAGGGAGCCGUCUAAGGUAGGAUCGAUGAUUGGGGUUAAG
rnacentral:rRNA from 1 species